rfam:Oryza glumipatula chromosome 7, whole genome shotgun sequence.
UUUAAGGGAAACCAUAAGUUUUUUUUUCUAAUUUUAACCAUCCGUUUUAUUUGAAUCUUUUUUAUAAUUAGUAUUUUUAUUUUUAUGAGAUGAUAAAACAUAAAUAAUACUUUAUACGUGACCUAUGUUUUUAAAUCUUUUUAGAAAAUUUUCAAAUAAGACGGACGGUCAAAGUGUACAUGAAAAAUUAUGUCUACACUUAAA